UGAAACAGUGAUAUGGAAUGUUGAGGAUGUUCUGCAGGAGAUUGAUAGAGACUCUUAACAACUUUGACUUCUCAGUUUUCCUUUAACUUAAUAUUUCGCUUUAUAUUCAGCAAGAAAAAAUCAACGGAAAUAUUAGGACUUGAGAAAGGAUUGCGAAGAGCUUACAAGGGUUCCUUCCACAUGUAAAGUAGUAUGAAUUAAAGAUUGCGCAAAAGAAGAAAAAUGAAGCUCCAAGUAAAUGAGGGACUGAGUAAGAGCCAGCCUAAGUUCCUUGGAUUGAGUUCUUCAACGUAGAGUUCUUCAUGCACGG